rnacentral:rRNA from 1 species
GACGAACGCUGGCGGCGUGCUUAACACAUGCAAGUCGAACGGAAAGGCCCAGCUUGCUGGGUACUCGAGUGGCGAACGGGUGAGUAACACGUGGGUGAUCUGCCCUGGACUCUGGGAUAAGCCUGGGAAACUGGGUCUAAUACCGGAUAUGACCUUACAUCGCAUGGUGUUUGGUGGAAAGCUUUUGCGGUUCAGGAUGGGCCCGCGGCCUAUCAGCUUGUUGGUGGGGUAAUGGCCUACCAAGGCGACGACGGGUAGCCGACCUGAGAGGGUGAUCGGCCACACGGGGACUGAGACACGGCCCAGACUCCUACGGGAGGCAGCAGUGGGGAAUAUUGCACAAUGGGCGCAAGCCUGAUGCAGCGACGCCGCGUGAGGGAUGACGGCCUUCGGGUUGUAAACCUCUUUCACCAGGGACGAAGCGUGAGUGACGGUACCUGGAGAAGAAGCACCGGCCAACUACGUG